rnacentral:rRNA from 1 species
AACGAACGCUGGCGGCAGGCCUAACACAUGCAAGUCGAACGGGACCUUCGGGUCUAGUGGCGGACGGGUGAGUAACGCGUGGGAACGUGCCCUUUGGUUCGGAAUAGCCCCGGGAAACUGGGAGUAAUACCGGAUAAGCCCUACGGGGGAAAGAUUUAUCGCCAAAGGAUCGGCCCGCGUUGGAUUAGGUAGUUGGUGAGGUAAUGGCUUACCAAGCCGACGAUCCAUAGCUGGUUUGAGAGGAUGAUCAGCCACACUGGGACUGAGACACGGCCAAGACUCCUACGGGAGGCAGCAGUGGGGAAUCUUAGACAAUGGGGGAAACCCUGAUCUAGCCAUGCCGCGUGAUCGAUGAAGGCCUUAGGGUUGUAAAGAUCUUUCAGUGGGGAAGAUAAUGACUGUACCCACAGAAGAAGCCCCGGCUAACUCCGUGCCAGCCGCCGCUGUAA